CUCCACCUGUCGCCCCGGAUCAGCCUGCCCCACCGGCUGCAGUUCAUCCCGAUUUGCGGGUGCCAGCUCAUGCACCAUUCGCAAGAUACACCGUCGAGGAUUUGCUUGCCCAGCCCGGACGAGAGGGUUUACACGUUCUGGACCCCGAUAGACCCCCGGGUACUUAUUGGUUUGGGGCUAACAACCGUGUUAGCCGGAGCGUUUCAGAGACGAUGAAGGGAUAUUAUGACGGCCCUUAUCCCAACUGGACCAUGACUCCCGAUCACGUCAAGACGACGUGGUUUAAAUGUUUUGCGGUAAUUAUAUUUACAUAUUAUUAAUAUUUAUAUUGUUAAUUAAAUAAUUAUUAUUUUUUUCUAAUCUUUUAAAAUGUUUGUUUUUUCAGCAAAGGUGGAACUGGUCCGUAGGAAUCACCGAGAGGGUGAAGAGCGAAUUUAUUGCAAAGGCGAAAACUCGUCUUUGCAACACCGUCUCCGAUUGGAAGGACAAGUGGGAGAUUUACGGCUAUGAGGGGAAGCCGAGCGGGGUCACAAAGGAAGCAUGGGAUGGCCUCAUCACCUAUUGGAACGAACCCAGCUCCAUCCGCAAAGCCAACUCCUGCUCCGCUUCCC